GGCCUGGCUCCGCCCUGGCCGCGCCUUCCUUCUCGAACCCACUAACGGGUUCCAGGGGCUGCCAGACGGAGGUCUCUGUGACCCUUGACCCCAGUUCCUCUGCCCUGCUGACACACACGCCGCCUAAGUGCUCAUCGGCGUGGGUACUGCUCGUCCACCGCAGUUACCAUUGCUGGACAACAGACGGCGCUAUGACAUUACAAAUAUAAAGAGGUGCAUUCAAAGCACUGAACAUCAGAAGGACAAGAAGACGCAGCAAAGGUUUGCAAGAGAAUGCCAACAGAGGCAGACGGUGCUAACUCAUCAAUGUGGGUGGACAGCUUGUGGCUUGAUGUUUUGGUGUUGAGUCUGAAGACAGUGGAGGUGCAUGCAGAUAAUGGCAGGGUAAGAAACUUCCAGAGCCGCAUUCGUGUGGACACCGCCGAGAGCGGUGCACCACUGCCCCUGGCGCAGUUCGUGUUACGUGUCUCAACACCGCCGCAGAUGGGUUUUUUUUUUGCUACAGCAAGAUAACACGCGCCACAUGUUCGCCGCUCCAACAACGGCGAGAAUGGCAACAGUUUGGGAUGGACAACAACUCCGACCCAGUGCCCCGCGCCCUCUCUGUCCAAUCGGACUGGGUUGCAGGCCUCUCUGAUCGCUGGGACGCAGGCUCCUUGCGAUGGAGCAGCAGCAGCAGCAGUGUCCCUUCUCCGGCUGCUGGCACCACAGUCUCGCAGAGUGCACAGACGUUUCUCUUCCUUUAUUUUACUCUCUCUCGCUCCACACCCCGAAUGUCUUUUUGAAGUUAAAUUCGCACUCCUUAUAAAUGUAGUAAUGAAUGAAUGAAUAAACGAGGGAGUAUUUU